rnacentral:rRNA from 1 species
UACGUAGGGGGCAAGCGUUGUCCGGAUUUAUUGGGCGUAAAGAGCGUGUAGGCGGCCAGAUAGGUCGGUUGUGAAAACUGGAGGCUCAACCUCCAGACGUCGACCGAAACCAUCUGGCUAGAGUCCGGAAGAGGAGAGUGGAAUUCCCGGUGUAGCGGUGGAAUGCGUAGAGAUCGGGAAGAACAUCAGUGGCGAAGGCGGUCUGCUGGGCCGUUGCUGACGCUGAGGCGCGACAGCGUGGGGAGCAAACAGG